UACGUAGGGCGCAAGCGUUGUCCGGAAUUAUUGGGCGUAAAGAGCUCGUAGGCGGCUUGUCACGUCGGAUGUGAAAGCCCGGGGCUUAACCCCGGGUCUGCAUUCGAUACGGGCAGGCUAGAGUUCGGUAGGGGAGAUCGGAAUUCCUGGUGUAGCGGUGAAAUGCGCAGAUAUCAGGAGGAACACCAGUAGCGAAGGCAGCUCGCUGGGACGGUACUGACGCUAAGGCGCGAAAGCGUGGGGAGCGAACAGG
rnacentral:rRNA from 1 species